CCUACGGGAGGCAGCAGUCGGGAAUAUUGCGCAAUGGAGGAAACUCUGACGCAGUGACGCCGCGUAUAGGAAGAAGGUUUUCGGAUUGUGAACUAUUGUCGUUAGGGAAGAUACAAGACAGUACCUAAGGAGGAAGCCCCGGCUAACUAUGUGCCAGCAGCCGCGGUAAUA
rnacentral:rRNA from 1 species